UAAAAAGAUAACAGAGUUAAGAGAAGAAUAGAGACACACCCUACACAGUUUGUUAUUUUUUUUUUAAUAUGAACCGGUCAUGCUAUUAUUGAAAGGACCUGGAAACAAGCAAACAAACAUAGUGUCCUUCGCCAUUAAAUGCAGGUGCACAUGCCACGAAGCAAAACAACCCAACAAACAAAAGCAGAAUACAAAAGAAAACCAAAAAACAGAAAAGAAAAGCAGAAAACAAGCAGCUGAAACCCUGCAACAACCCCAGUUGCGCACGCAUGUCCAGUAAGGCCAAACCACCGUCAGAAACAGUUCGCGAUACACGAUCCAUGGUGAAGCUACAACAAAGCUUGCCAGUAAGAUAACCAAUCUGGUCGAAACAGAACUCGAAGAAUGCCCUCCAUCAGAAGCAGGCACAGCCCCGACGAUCUUUUUCCACCUACCCCAGCACAGACUCCGGCCCAUCCUCCAUCCAAAUAACAUCCCGUCAGGAAACUCUAACGAGCUAGCAGAUGGGCAACCAUAUUUCCUUUUGUUUUAUGUGUUGGAACUUGAAAUGCUCGAAACCCAAACUAGUCUCUUCGCAUCCCAAACAUAAGCUCCCACCAUCGACCAAUCAGUGGCCAGACUCCGAAGCCUGGAGAUAAGCACCGCCGAGUCUCCCUCAAUCUCAACCCAAUGAAAGCCAAGAUCUUGGGCAAAUCGAAUGGCCUGCACACACGCGAGAGCUUCUUUCUGUAAAAGACAUGGCAUGUGUUUUUCCCAAAAACAUGCCGAGCCUAAUAACAGACCUUCAGAAUUUCUAACAACUAUCCCUGUGCUGGCAGCCUACAGAUCGGUAAAAAAUCCUACGUUAAAGUUCACGCGAACCUAUGGGUCCGCAAGGGACAUCCAAAGUGACGAGUCAGCAGUCUUAGCAUCCUCUCGAGGAGCGAGAGGGAUUCUAGCUCACGCAUAAAACCCAGAAUAGAGAUAAGUAUCUUUCGAAUUCCGGUAUUAUGUGCCAAGAGUAACCCAAGCCGUGCCAAACUUCCUUAACCACAGGAUUGUCCCGACAGACGUGCAGAAUAGUCUCAGGCCCACUACCACAGCGUGGGCGCAUGCGGUCAGCCCCGAUUCUCCGACGAAACAGAUUAUCCUUUGUAGGGAGAAAAUUAUUUGUGUAUAUCCAACAUGUAAAUUUCAUUUUUUCGGGCACUUGAGCCCCUCCAAAGUUGUUUGUAAAGAUUUGUUGUCUGCCGCAUAACACCACUGUAUCGAUCAUCUUCCCCCCGAAAAAUCAUGCAAUAACAAUAUGUAACUGCUAUACGGAUAGAAUAA